GGGGCCUUGGCUCAACGCUAGAGCAUCUGCUUUGCCUGUAGCAGGUCCCGGGUUCAAUCCCUGGCAUCUCCA